rnacentral:rRNA from 1 species
UUUCGGAUUAUUCCCAAUGGGCGCAAGCCUGAGGGUGCAAUACCGCGUGGAGGAUGAAGGUUUUCGGAUUGUAAACUCCUGUCGUCAGGGACAAAACCUUUUGUUUUAAUAGAACAGAAGCUGAUUUAACUUGAAGAGGAAGAGGUGGCUAACUCUGUGCCAGCAGCCGCGGUGAUACAGAGACCUCAAGCGUUACUCGGAUUCAAUGGGCGUAAAGGGAACGUAGGUGGCACAAGUGUGUUGGGCGUGAAAUUCUGGGGCUUAACCCCGGCGCUGCGUCCAAAACUACUUUGCUAGAGUACUGUAGAGAUGAGCGGAAUUUCUGGUGUAGCGGUAAAAUGCGUAGAUAUCAGAAAGAACACCAACGGCGAAGGCAGCUCAUUGGGCAGUCACUGACACUGAGGUUCGAAAGCGUGGGGAGCAAAAA